GGUUGCGUAGUGUAGUGGUUAUCACUUCAGAUUUUGAUCCAACUAUGCAUGAACGUCUUCAAGUUCAAGCAUGCAUAAAUGAACAUCUUCUGAUAACCCCGGUUCGAACCCGGGCGCGACCU